CCUACGGGGCGCAGCAGUGAGGAAUAUUGGUCAAUGGGCGAGAGCCUGAACCAGCCAAGUCGCGUGAAGGAUGACGGCCCUAUGGAUUGUAAACCUCUUUUGUCAGGGAGCAAAGGGCGCCACGUGUGGCGUUUUGCGAGUACCUGAAGAAAAAGCAUCGGCUAACUCCGUGCCAGCAGCCGCGGUAAUACGGAGGAUGCGAGCGUUAUCCGGAUUUAUUGGGUUUAAAGGGUGCGCAGGCGGAAUGUCAAGUCAGCGGUAAAAUUUCGGGGCUCAACCCCGUCGUGCCGUUGAAACUGGCGUUCUUGAGUGAGCGAGAAGUAUGCGGAAUGCGUGGUGUAGCGGUGAAAUGCAUAGAUAUCACGCAGAACUCCGAUUGCGAAGGCAGCAUACCGGCGCUCAACUGACGCUCAUGCACGAAAGCGUGGGUAUCGAACAGGAUUAGAUACCCCUGUAGUC
rnacentral:rRNA from 1 species